rnacentral:rRNA from 1 species
CAGUAGCCGCGGUAAUACGUAGGGUGCAAGCGUUAAUCGGAAUUACUGGGCGUAAAGCGCACGCAGGCGGUCUGACAAGUCAGAUGUGAAAUCCCCGGGCUUAACCUGGGAACUGCAUUUGAAACUGUCAGGCUGGAGUCUUGUAGAGGGGGGUAGAAUUCCAGGUGUAGCGGUGAAAUGCGUAGAGAUCUGGAGGAAUACCGGUGGCGAAGGCGGCCCCCUGGACAAAGACUGACGCUCAGGUGCGAAAGCGUGGGGAGCAAACAGGAUUAGAUACCCGUGUAGUCCCUGUCUCUUAUAC